AUUCACAUGGUAUAACAAUGCUUCAUUCUCAAUUACAGACUUAUUGAAUUGAAACCUAAUUGCACAAGUAACAUAAGGAGCCCUUCCAUUUAGACCUAAUCUGCAUUUGUGUUGACAGAUGUGUAUGAGAUUGCCUGUGCAAAGCUGCUAGAGGCAACAAUUACCUCUGAUCUAAAUACUGAAGAUGAGGAUAACAGGCCAGAGUACAUGAAGAGAAAGAAUAAGUAGGAGUGGCCCAUAAUUUCCUUUUAUGGCCGUGUCAAAAGUUACAAUACACCUGGGCAAACAAUUAGGCCUCAAGCUAGAGGGCCUUACAAUGCACUCAUGACAAAACCAACUUUAUAAUUUAUAACUAUAAUUUAUUAUUCACUCCAAUGACAAACUGACAUCCCAAUGUAAUCAAUGUUAGAGGCUGUAAAAGAAUAGUAAGCAGCAGUGAAGAGGAGGAAGAGGAGCAGGAGAGUACUGCUGCACCUCGUGCUCCAACCAAAAAGAAAUCUUACACUCCACUUGCACCAGCCCCCUGCAUCCCAUCUCUUGGUGGUAGGCCUGUUGCAGUUGUUACAGUGGUUUUCCAUUAAUCUUUUAUUAAACAUCUGGUUGAAACUAACAUAACAGCCAAUUGUACCUUUGUGACAGCUCUGGGUGAAGGGAGUCAGCCAGCUGGUCAAGGUUUUUGGUCCCUAGGCCAUCUUUCAGAGACCACAGUUGAUCCCCCUUCUGAUGCAAACAGCUCAGGAACAGGUCCGUGGGCUUCUCCCCUUUCAGCGAACAUCACAGGGGCUAGUCCACCACCGUGGUCUCAAGUCUCCACUACCAACAGCCUGAGGGCUACACCUCCUACUGACACCCCAACCCAUGCAGCAGCUGGCAGAAGCCAUCAAGCCAAACUGGAUAUCAAAACACCCCGCAAGUACAUGACACACAGAACAGGUCUUCUCGGGAGGCUGGGCCUACAGCAAUUGCCAAGGAGAUCCUCAUCCAGCUUGAUUCUAUAAGAGAGCAGCAGUUGCUCAUCCUGGUGCUGCUCCAAAAAAUAUCCAGCAGUCAAGCAGUUCCAAACUUCACGCCAGACCCAACACAUUUUGGGAUCCCACUUUCAACUACUGAGGAGCUACAAUGUUUGGAGGAGACAUUAAAGAAUCCAGAGGAGAAGAAG